rnacentral:rRNA from 1 species
UACGUAGGGUCCGAGCGUUGUCCGGAUUGACUGGGCGUAAAGCGCACGCAGGCGGACGCGCGCGUGGGGUGUGAAAUCUGGCCGCUUAACGGCCAGGCGCCAUCCCAUACGGCGCGACUGGAGUGAUGCAGAGGUCGAUGGAAUUGCCGGUGUAGUGGUGAAAUGCGUAGAGAUCGGCAGGAACACCCAGGGGGGAAACCAGUCGACUGGGCAUCUACUGACGCUGAGGUGCGAGAGCGUGGGGAGCGAACCGG